AUUGAACGCUGGCGGCAGGCCUAACACAUGCAAGUCGAGCGAGCGGCGGACGGGUGAGUAAUGUAUGGGGAUCUGCACGAUAGAGGGGGAUAACUACUGGAAACGGUGUCUAAUACCGCAUACUCUCGGAUGAACCCAUAGGGGAUGAACUAGUAGGGGGGGUAAAGGAUCACCUAGGCGACGAUCUCUCGCUGGUCUGAGAGGAUGCUCAGACAAACUGGGACUGAGACACGGCCCAGACUCCUACGGGAGGAAGCAGUGGGGAAUAUUGCACAAUGGGCGCAAGCCUGAUGCAGCCAUGCCGCGUGUGGGAUGAAGGCUUUCGGGUUGUAAACCUCUUUCGCUAUCGAACGGGUAGGUGGAGAAGAAGCGCCGGCUAACUACGUGCCAGCAGCCGCGGUAAUAC
rnacentral:rRNA from 1 species